rnacentral:rRNA from 1 species
UAAAACUUAUAAAAUUAGGUAGUAAAGAAAUUUCUGAAACCUAAAGAAUUUGGCGGUAUUUUAAAUAAUUGGAGGAACCUGUUAUUUAAUUGACAAUCCACAACAUAUCUUACCUAGAUUUUAUUUGUAUAUCGUCGUUUUGAUAAUAUUUAAAAAUAAUAAUCAAUUUUAAUAAAUUUUUUAAAUUCAGAUCAAGAUGCAGUAUAUUUAGGUUAUAAUGGGUUACAAUAUACUUAUAUAUAAUGAAUGUAAAAUUGAAAAUAUAUUGAAGGUGGAUUCAAAAGUAAAAUUAAAUUAAAAAGUUAAUUUGAUUGAUAAUUUAAAAUAUGC